rnacentral:rRNA from 1 species
GAUGAAGCCCAGCUUGCUGGGUGGAUUAGUGGCGAACGGGUGAGUAACACGUGAGUAACCUGCCCUUGACUCUGGGAUAAGCGCUGGAAACGGCGUCUAAUACCGGAUACGACCUGCCCCGGCAUCGGGUGCGGGUGGAAAGUUUUUCGGUCAAGGAUGGACUCGCGGCCUAUCAGGUAGUUGGUGAGGUAAUGGCUCACCAAGCCGACGACGGGUAGCCGGCCUGAGAGGGUGACCGGCCACACUGGGACUGAGACACGGCCCAGACUCCUACGGGAGGCAGCAGUGGGGAAUAUUGCACAAUGGGCGAAAGCCUGAUGCAGCAACGCCGCGUGGGGGAUGACGGCCUUCGGGUUGUAAACCUCUUUUAGUAGGGAAGAAGGGCUUCGGCUUGACGGUACCUGCAGAAAAAGCACCGGCUAACUACGUGCCAGCAGCCGCGGUAAUACGUAGGGUGCAAGCGUUGUCCGGAAUUAUUGGGCGUAAAGAGCUCGUAGGCGGUUUGUCGCGUCUGCUGUGAAAACCCGAGGCUCAACCUCGGGCCUGCAGUGGGUACGGGCAGACUAGAGUGCGGUAGGGGAGAAUGGAAUUCCUGGUGUAGCGGUGGAAUGCGCAGAUAUCAGGAGGAACACCGAUGGCGAAGGCAGUUCUCUGGGCCGUUACUGACGCUGAGGAGCGAAAGCGUGGGGAGCGAACAGGAUUAGAUACCCUGGUAGUCCACGCCGUAAACGUUGGGAACUAGAUGUG